AAUGAACGCUGGCGGCGUGCUUAACACAUGCAAGUCGAGCGAGAACGCGCCCUUCGGGGUGUUAGUAAAGCGGCGAACGGGUGAGUAACACGUGGGCAAUCUGCCUGGGAGCGGGGGAUAACCUGGGGAAACUCGGGCUAAUACCGCAUACGUCUUCGAGGUCACGGCCUCGAAGGGAAAGCUGGCCACUACAUGUAAGCUGGCACUCCCAGAGGAGCCCGCGGUCGAUUAGCUAGAUGGUGAGGUAACGGCUCACCAUGGCGACGAUCGAUAGCCGGCCUGAGAGGGUGAUCGGCCACACUGGGACUGAGACACGGCCCAGACUCCUACGGGAGGCAGCAGUGGGGAAUAUUGGACAAUGGGGGCAACCCUGAUCCAGCAACGCCGCGUGGAGGAUGAAGGCCUUCGGGUCGUAAACUCCUGUCAGGUGGGACGAAAAGGCGUCGUUCAAUAGGCGGCGCUCAUGACGGUACCACCAGAGGAAGCCCCGGCUAACUCCGUGCCAGCAGCCGCGGUAAUACGGAGGGGGCGAGCGUUAUUCGGAAUUACUGGGCGUAAAGGGCGCGUAGGCGGCCUGGCAAGUCGAUAGUGAAAUCCCUCGGCUCAACCGAGGAACUGCUAUCNAAACUGCUUGGCU
rnacentral:rRNA from 1 species